rfam:Oryza sativa (indica cultivar-group) chromosome 8, whole genome shotgun sequence.
UUUAAGUGCAACCGUAAGUUUCCGUGCCCAACUUUGACCAUCUGUCUUAUUUGAAAAUUUUUAUAAUUAGUAUUUUUAUUGUCAUGAGAUGAUAAAACAUGAAUAGUACUUUAUACGUGACUUAUGUUUUUUAUUUUUUUAAAAAACAAAUUCAAAUAAGAUGGACGGUCAAAGCUGUACAGAGAAAUCAUGGCUGCACCUAAA